GCUACCUGAGUCAAUCACUCAGCUCUCAUGAUCAGGAACGCGGUGAAAAUGCCAAAAAGUAAACUUUAGAGGCAGCGAUGAAUGGACCUAAAUAUGAAAAGACACAACAUUUACCGUCGCUCUUUCGCGGGAUUGGUGCGGCCGGAGAGAAGGGGGCUAUUCUCCCAGGAUUGGCCAUGUGUGUCAGGACAAUGGCUGGAAGCUCACACCGGGUCCGGAGCGUCACACCUGCUGGGAGAGGGAGAAAAAAAAUAUAUAUAUGACACACUUCGUUCUGGCCGGCUGUCCAGCUGUCAUUUCACUGUCUGCAAAACAAAGGCGGGAGGAGGAGGAAUAGAAAUUGCUCGGUCUGAGGUGAGCGAGAAGGAAAUAUUUCCGGCGGAGAAAUAUUCUGGAGGGGAGGACAAUAACCUUUUGUACGCUCUGUGCCAGUACACAGACAAAGGCGGCGACACAAACCUGCAUUUACUCUGGUGGAAAAACACCAAAAAAAUACAUUUCGAGAUGAGUUAUGUGGUUUUUCACAAUGAUCUUUGACCCUUUUAUGGUCUCACCAAGAAGUAAGUAACGCAUCCAAUUUGUCUUCCGCCGCCAACAGACUCCAGAUUUUGCAUCCGAGGAGAGCACGUCGUUGCCCACGACUUCUUUAUACGCGUACAGCCCUCCUCUUCUCGUCCGUGCUUCCUGCACGGGUGUCUCUUCUGCCAAUCAGCGUCUUUACACAGCGCAUGAUAAUUUUGUAAUAAUAUGUAAACGCUACAUUGUGGUUGUUUAAUUUUUGUCCUGUCUGUCACAUGUACUGCAAAACCUUAAUAAAAAGAAUGUUCAAAAAAAAAAAAAUAAUAAUAA